CAAUAGCGUAUAUUAAAGUUGUUGCAGUUAAAAAGCUCGUAGUUGGAUUUCGGGAUGGCCCGGCCGGUCUGCCGCAAGGUAUGUUACUGGCCGAGCUGUUCUUCUUCGCAAAGACUGUGGGUGCUCUUAACUGAGUGUGCUCAGGAUCUGUGACGUUUACUUUGAAAAAAUUAGAGUGUUCAAAGCAAGCCAGCGCUUGAAUACAUAAGCAUGGAAUAAUGGAAUAGGACUUUGGUUCUAUUUUGUUGGUUUCUGGAACCUUAGUAAUGAUUAAGAGAGACAGUUGGGGGCAUUCGUAUUUCGUUGUCAGAGGUGAAAUUCUUGGAUUUACGAAAGACGAACUACUGCGAAAGCAUUUGCCAAGAAUGUUUUCAUUAA
rnacentral:rRNA from 1 species